CAAUGUCAAUGUUAGAUUCUGAUUCACCAACAGUGGUCUUUAGGUUACAAAGGAUUUGAAUUGAGCGAUUCAACUCUGCCUUCAUCAGUACAAACAAUUCAUAAAAGAGAUGAAUUGGACUAAUCUACUCAGCAUCUCAUGACUUUAGAAGCACGAGUUCAUGAAAACUGAUAUCCACUAGGAUUGCUCUGCUCCUGUUGACAUGCGAGAGCUGUUUGAAGCGAACUGGAUGGUUGUCACCACUGAUUAAGCUGCCGAGCCCAAGAAUUGUGUCAGACUAUUGGCCAAGUUGUUCAAUUUCUCAACACCGUUCAGUUUUGUCAUUGGCCGCCCUUGCGUACACUCAACAGAGAAGGGUAUCUAUCCUCAAUUUCCUACUCUAGAUAACAUCUACUCAUAUAAUUGAUCUCUAAUAUCCUGUACAAAAUGUUAGUGGUGGCUCGACAAUUUAAUAUGUCAGAUUUGUGGGAAGUGGAAUGCAUGUGUAACCAAACUGGGCUGGACCAAUCUUGAGGUUUUCCACGAAUUCUUUUAAAAAUGGUCCUUAAGCAAGGCACUGGGAAAUCGUGGAUAGCUGAUAUAUCCAACAGGUAUGUGCACAUUCUGCUAUAAUCUAGAGUAGGGAGUGCUCAGCAUAAAUUGUGAGAUCUGAGCUGGUACAUAAAAUAAACCAAGAUAGUCUUGUCUUACGUGCGGAUGAUUUUAUUAUGGCAUACUGUUCAGCAUAA